rnacentral:rRNA from 1 species
UACGAAGGGUGCAAACGUUGCUCGGAAUUAUUGGGCGUAAAGCGCACGUAGGCGGCAUUGCAAGUCGGGUGUGAAAUCCCUCAGCUUAACUGAGGAAGUGCGCCCGAAACUGCAGAGCUUGAGUACCGGAGAGGAUGGUGGAAUUCCCCAAGUAGAGGUGAAAUUCGUAGAUAUGGGGAGGAACACCGGUGGCGAAGGCGACCAUCUGGACGGAUACUGACGCUGAGACGCGAAAGCGUGGGGAGCGAACAGG